rnacentral:rRNA from 1 species
GACGAACGCUGGCGGCGUGCUUAACACAUGCAAGUCGAACGGAAAGGCCUUGCUUUUGUGGGGUGCUCGAGUGGCGAACGGGUGAGUAACACGUGAGUAACCUGCCCUUGACUUUGGGAUAACUUCAGGAAACUGGGGCUAAUACCGGAUAGGAGCUCCUGCUGCAUGGUGGGGGUUGGAAAGUUUCGGCGGUUGGGGAUGGACUCGCGGCUUAUCAGCUUGUUGGUGGGGUAGUGGCUUACCAAGGCUUUGACGGGUAGGCGGCGUGAGAGGGUGACCGGCCACAGGGAGACUGAGAUGCGGCAGAGACUCAUAGGGGAGAGAGGAGUGGAGAAUAGUGCACAAGGGGCGAGAGUGUGAUGGAGAAGCGGCGCGUGGGAGAUGGCGGUUCUGGGGUUAAAAAUCGCUUUCGAGUGAGGAGGAGUGUGAGAGGCUACAAGGAGUAAAAAAGCACGGGCUAAAUGUG